rnacentral:rRNA from 1 species
GAUGAACGCUGGCGGCGUGCCUAAUACAUGCAAGUAGAACGCUGAAGCUUGGUGCUUGCACCGAGCGGAUGAGUUGCGAACGGGUGAGUAACGCGUAGGUAACCUGCCUGGUAGCGGGGGAUAACUAUUGGAAACGAUAGCUAAUACCGCAUGACAACAGUUAUUGCAUGAUAACUGUUUAAAAGGGGCAAUUGCUCCACUACCAGAUGGACCUGCGUUGUAUUAGCUAGUUGGUGAGGUAACGGCUCACCAAGGCGACGAUACAUAGCCGACCUGAGAGGGUGAUCGGCCACACUGGGACUGAGACACGGCCCAGACUCCUACGGGAGGCAGCAGUAGGGGAUCUUCGGCAAUGGACGGAAGUCUGACCGAGCAACGCCGCGUGAGUGAAGAAGGUUUUCGGAUCGUAAAGCUCUGUUGUAAGAGAAGAACGAGUGUGAG